UACGUAGGGACCGAGCGUUGUCCGGAUUCAUUGGGCGUAAAGAGCUCGUAGGCGGCCACUCAAGUCGAAUGUGAAACCUCGAGGCUCAACCUCGAGCCUGCAUUCGAUACUGGGCGGCUAGAGUCUGGUAGGGGGAUCUGGAAUUCCUGGUGUAGCGGUGGAAUGCGCAGAUAUCAUGAGGAACACCGGUGGCGAAAGCGGAUACCUGGAAGAUUCCUGACUCUGAAACACGAAAGCUAGGGGAGCAAACGGG
rnacentral:rRNA from 1 species